AGAUGUGAGGGCGAUCUGGCUGCAACAUCUGUCACCCCAUUGAUCGCCAGCAUUGAUUUGGCAGAUCUGGCUGGCUAGGCGGAUGUGUCCUUCCUCCCUCACCGCUCCAUGUGUGUCCCUCCCAAAACUGCACGCUCAGUGGAAGAGGACGACCAUCCCAGAUGGAAGGAGUGUACCAUUCUGUGGCCAAGGGUAUACAACCUCCAGACAAGCUCAAGCUAGAACCUCCAGACAAGCUCAAGGUCCACUUGUAGGAGAACGUAGGGUUGUCAAGCUUCCAAGACUCCAGACACAUCCAAGUAAGGCGCUACAUGUGGCAGUUUGCCAUUCUUU